rnacentral:rRNA from 1 species
ACCUCUUCCAGAGUAUCAAUUGGAGGGCAAGUCUGGUGCCAGCAGCCGCGGUAAUUCCAGCUCCAAUAGCGUAUAUUAAAAUUGUUGCAGUUAAAAAGCUCGUAGUUGAAUUUCUGCUGCAUUGCUUGUGUCCCUCCGGGGUCUGUGCAUGUGGCUUUUUUCGGACGGAGUUUCUUUGUCUGAAUGUUUACUUUGAGAAAAUUAGAGUGCUCAAAGCAGGCUUUUGCCUUGAAUAGUUUAGCAUGGAAUAAUAAAGUAGGACUUUGGUUCUAUUUUGUUGGUUUUAGGUACCAAAGUAAUGGUUAAUAGGAACAGUUGGGGGCAUUCGUAUUUAACUGUCAGAGGUGAAAUUCUUA